GCGGCCGCUGCAGCUGCGGCUAGCCCGGGCUACCGGCUGAGCACCCUCAUUGAAUUUCUGCUGCACCGGGCCUACUCGGAGCUUAUGGUGUUGACGGACCUACUGCCAAGGAAAUCUGAUGUGGAAAGGAAAAUAGAAAUAGUGCAGUUUGCUAGCCGGACACGCCAACUCUUCGUUCGAUUAUUAGCUUUAGUGAAAUGGGCUAAUAAUGCUGGCAAAGUGGAAAAAUGUGCGGUGAGUUAAACUUUUUAUUUUACUUUGUAUAAAAUAACUUCGAAUGUUAUGAUAGACAUAGUUUUACAUUUUAGCUUUAACUUAUCCCUGCUGAUUUGAGUGACAUGUGAAUAAUCGUAUUUCUGAAUGAUAAUGUAUAUUUCUGCAGAAACUUAGUAUUUGUUUGUGGACACCUGAUCAGAAAGAAGAGAUAGCUGGAGACAUCAUUAUGUGAGGAGACUUUAAAUAUGAGACUGGAACUAAAGGGGGAAAAUUGUUAGUUUAUAUUCGUGCUAUUCCUUAGAAU
rnacentral:sRNA from 1 species